rnacentral:rRNA from 1 species
AUGGCGGCGGCGGGGCCGGUGGUGCUCCAGACGGACGUGCACUGCCUCGAGUGCGCCAGGAAGAUCAGGAACGCCGUCGGCAACCAGCUCGGGGUGGAGCGGGUGUGGGCGUCGCCGGACACGGGGCUGGUGGUGGUGGCGGGGACGGCGGACCCGGCGGCGCUCAGGCGCCGCAUCCGCCGCAAGAUGAGGAGGCCCGUCGCCAUCCUCAGCGACGGUUCGACGCCCUACGCGGGGCCGGGGCCAACCACGCCGCACUGGCACUACGGCACCGGCGACGCACCGCCCUCCUCAGUGCCGCCAUAUGGCUGGGGCACGGCGCCGCCGCCGCACGCCUACUACUCCUACCCUCCACCACCGCCGCCACCGCCCUCGCCGGCCGGGUACCCGUACGGCGGCUGGGCGUCCGAUCCGGACCCCUACGGUUACGGCACGCGCACCACGGUGCCCACGUGCUCCAUCCUGUGA